rnacentral:rRNA from 1 species
AUUGAACGCUGGCGGCAGGCCUAACACAUGCAAGUCGAGCGAGCGGCGGACGGGUGAGUAAUGUCUGGGAAACUGCCUGAUGGAGGGGGAUAACUACUGGAAACGGUAGCUAAUACCGCAUACCAUCAGAUGUGCCCAGAUGGGAUUAGCUGGUAGGUGGGGUAAUGGCUCACCUAGGCGACGAUCCCUAGCUGGUCUGAGAGGAUGACCAGCCAGACUGGAACGGAGACCCGGUCCAGACUCCUACGGGAGGCAGCAGUGGGGAAUAUGGGACAAGGGGCGCAAGCCUGAGGCAGACAUGCGGCGUGUGGGAAGAAGGCCUUCGGGUUGUAAAGCACGUUCAGCGGGGAGGCGGUACCCGCAGAAGAAGCAACGGCUAACUCCGUGCCAGCAGCCGCGGUAAUAC